rnacentral:rRNA from 1 species
UACGGAGGAUGCGAGCGUUAUCCGGAUUUAUUGGGUUUAAAGGGUGCGUAGGCGGGAUGCCAAGUCAGCGGUAAAAAUGCGGUGCUCAACGCCGUCGAGCCGUUGAAACUGGCGUUCUUGAGUGGGCGAGAAGUAUGCGGAAUGCGUGGUGUAGCGGUGAAAGGCAUAGAUAUCACGCAGAACUCCGAUUGCGAAGGCAGCAUACCGGCGCCCUACUGACGCUGAGGCACGAAAGCGUGGGUAUCAAACAGG